AAUACAAUAGAGAGGGGUGGGUCUCUUGAAGGAGGGCGCGUCAUUCUCUAUUUAAAACCAUUCAUGUCAGUGCAUUGUCUCAAAUCCUCCCUUACACUCUUCUUACCCGCUCAAGCCUUCAUACUUUUUGGUCAACAUGGGUGAACUUAUUGCUGCAAUGGGAAUUAUUAGGAAUGUAUUUGACAAGUAUGCUGGAGAAGAAGGGGACAAGGAAACUUUAACCAAGAAAGAACUUUCCAAAUUGCUCCGUGAGCAAAUUGGGGAGGAACUGAGCUCCAAGGAAGUGGAUGAAUUCUUUGAUAACCUGAAUGAAGAUGGUGAUUCCGUAAUCAGUUACCAAGAGUACAUCACUUUUGUUGCAAUGCUCAUGUCGGUUCUGGGAUAAUCUUACCAAGCCAAGUUGCUUCAGGACUCCUUUGGAUAUUUUAAUUUGUUCUAAAUGAAAACAUAAACUGGACGAUCAAAUUUCACAUCAUCGAAGUUCAAUGUAAUCAGUGAUGAAUAAAAACAAAAA